rnacentral:rRNA from 1 species
CAGCCGCCGCGGUAAUACGAAGGGUGCAAGCGUUAAUCGGAAUUAUUGGGCGUAAAGCGUGCGUAGGCGGUGAGUUAAGUCUGCUGUGAAAUCCCCGGGCUCAACCUGGGAAUGGCAGUGGAUACUGGCUCGCUAGAGUGUGUCAGAGGAUGGUGGAAUUCCCGGUGUAGCGGUGAAAUGCGUAGAGAUCGGGAGGAACAUCAGUGGCGAAGGCGGCCAUCUGGGACAACACUGACGCUGAGGCACGAAAGCGUGGGGAGCAAACAGGAUUAGAUACCCCCAGUAGUCCCUGUCUCUUAUU